ACGCUCGACACCUACGGGGGCAGCAGUGGGGAAUAUUGCACAAUGGGGGAAACCCUGAUGCAGCGACGCCGCGUGAAGGAAGAAGUAUCUCGGUAUGUAAACUUCUAUCAGCAGGGAAGAAAAUGACGGUAUCUGACUAAGAAGCCCCGGCUAACUACGUCGCANGCGCGAUAUGNGNGGCGUGNGAG
rnacentral:rRNA from 1 species